rnacentral:rRNA from 1 species
GUUGAACGCUAGCGGGAGGCCUAACACAUGCAAGCCGAGCGGUAGAGUUUCUUCGGAAACUUGAGAGCGGCGCACGGGUGCGUAACACGUGUGCAACCUACCUUUAUCUUGGGGAUAGCCUUUCGAAAGGAAGAUUAAUACCCCAUAAUAUAAUGAUUGGCAUCAAUUAUUAUUGAAAACUCCGGUGGUUUGAGAUGGGCCUGUGCAAGAUUAGAUAGUUGGUGAGGUAACGGCUCACCAAGUCAAUGAUCUUUAGGGGUGCUGAGAGGGAGAUCCCCCACACUGGUACUGCGACACAGACCAGAAUCCUACGGGAGGCAGCAGUGAGGAAUAUUAGGCGAUGGAUGAGAGCCUGAUCCAGCCGUCCCGCGUGAAGAGGGACGGUCCUAUGGAUUGUAAACUACUUUUGAACAAGGAUAAACCUACCCUCGUGAGGGUAGCUGAAGGUACUGUAAGAAUAAGCACCGGCUAACUCCGUG